AUUGAACGCUGGCGGCAUGCCUUACACAUGCGAGUCGAACGGUAACGCGGGGCAACCUGGCGACGAGUGGCGAACGGGUGAGUAAUGCAUCGGAACGUGCCCAGAAGUGGGGGAUAGCCCGGCGAAAGCCGGAUUAAUACCGCAUGAGACCGGAGGGGAAAAGCGGGGGUUGGAAGGACUCGGCGUUUUUGGGCGGGCGAUGUCAGAUUAGCUAGUUGGGGGGGUAAAGGCCUACCAAGGCGACGAUCUGUAGCUGGUCUGAGAGGACGACCAGCCACACUGGGACUGAGACACGGCCCAGACUCCUACGGGAGGCAGCAGUGGGGAAUUUUGGACAAUGGGCGCAAGCCUGAUCCAGCCAUGCCGCGUGCGGGAAGAAGGCCUUCGGGUUGUAAACCGCUUUUGUCAGGGGAGAAACGCUCUGGGCUAAUACCCUGGGGUAAUGACGGUACCUGAAGAAUAAGCACCGGCUAACUACGUG
rnacentral:rRNA from 1 species